rnacentral:rRNA from 1 species
CUACGGGAUGCUGCAGUGAGGAAUUUUGCGCAAUGGGGGAAACCCUGACGCAGCAACGCCGCGUGAGCGAAGAAGGCCCUCGGGUCGUAAAGCUCUGUCAAGUGGGAAAAAAAUCUUUUGAUCAAUAGUCAAAAGACUUGAUGGUACCACUGGAGGAAGCACCGGCUAAGUCCGUGCCAGCAGCCGCGGUAAUACGGAGGGUGCAAGCGUUGUUCGGAUUUACUGGGCGUAAAGAGCGUGUAGGCGGUUUAGCAAGUCAGAUGUGAAAGCCCUGGGCUCAACCCGGGAAGUGCAUUUGAAACUGCUUCACUAGAGUAUGGGAGAGGAGAUUGGAAUUCCUGGUGUAGAGGUGAAAUUCGUAGAUAUCAGGAGGAACACCCGUGGCGAAGGCGAUUCUCUGGACCAAUACUGACGCUGAGACGCGAAAGCGUGGGGAGCAAACAGGAUUAGAUACCCCCGUAGUC